AUUGAACGCUGGCGGCAGGCCUAACACAUGCAAGUCGAGCGGAUGAAGGGAGCUUGCUCCUGGAUUCAGCGGCGGACGGGUGAGUCAUGCCUAGGAAUCUGCCUGGUCGUGGGGGGUAACGUCCGGAAACGGGCGCUAAUACCGCAUACGUCCUGAGGGAGAAAGUGGGGGAUCUUCGGACCUCACGCUAUCAGAUGAGCCUAGGUCGGAUUAGCUAGUUGGUGGGGUAAAGGCCUACCAAGGCGACGAUCCGUAACUGGUCUGAGAGGAUGAUCAGUCAGACUGGAACUGAGACACGGUCCAGACUCCUACGGGAGGCAGCAGUGGGGAAUAUUGGACAAUGGGCGAAAGCCUGAUCCAGCCAUGCCGCGUGUGUGAAGAAGGUCUUCGGAUUGUAAAGCACUUUAAGUUGGGAGGAAGGGCAGUAAGUUAAUACCUUGCUGUUUUGACGUUACCAACAGAAUAAGCACCGGCUAACUUCGUG
rnacentral:rRNA from 1 species